GGGGUUGUGGCUCAGUGGUAGAGCGCUCACCUAGAGCGUGCGAGGCCCUGGGUUCGAUCUCAGCACCA
rnacentral:tRNA from 1 species